GAAGAAGGGAGCGGGGUCGGAGCCGUCGGGGCCAAAGGAGACGGGGCCAGGAACAGGCAGUCUCGCCCCAACUGCGGACGCUCCCUCCACCCCCUGCGCAAAAAGACCCAACCGGAGUUGACGCGCUGCCCCUGGAGGCCCCACCUUACACUUGGCGGGGCCGGAGCCGGGCUCCCAGGACUGCUCCAGAAGCGAGGGAAGCUCGGGUCCCUCCGAGCUAGCCAUGGUGAGGCGCCGGAGGCCCCGGGGCCCCACCCCCCCGGCUUGACCACACUGCCCUGGGUGCCCUCCUCCAGAAGCCCGAGAUGCGGGGGGCCAGGAGACGACACUCCUGGCUCCCCGGAGAGGCGUGGGUCUGGGGCUGAGGGCCAGGGCCCGGAUGCCCAGGUUCCGGGACUAGGGCCUCGGCAGCCAGCGGGGGUGGGGACCACGGGCACCCAGAGAAGGUCCUCCACACAUCCCAACGCCGGCUCCCGGGCAUGGAGCCCUUGAAGAGCCUCUUCCUCAAGAGCCCUCUAGGGUCAUGGAAUGGCAGUGGCAGCGGGGGUGGUGGGGGCGGUGGAGGAGGCCGGCCUGAGGGGUCUCCAAAGGCAGCAGGUUAUGCCAACCCGGUGUGGACAGCCCUGUUCGACUACGAGCCCAGUGGGCAGGAUGAGUUGGCCCUGAGGAAGGGUGACCGUGUGGAGGUGCUGUCCCGGGACGCAGCCAUCUCAGGAGAUGAGGGCUGGUGGGCAGGCCAGGUGGGUGGCCAGGUGGGCAUCUUCCCGUCCAACUAUGUGUCUCGGGGUGGCGGCCCGCCCCCCUGCGAGGUGGCCAGCUUCCAGGAGCUACGGCUGGAGGAGGUGAUCGGCAUUGGAGGCUUCGGCAAGGUGUACCGGGGCAGCUGGCGAGGCGAGCUGGUGGCUGUGAAGGCAGCUCGCCAGGACCCCGAUGAGGACAUCAGUGUGACAGCUGAGAGCGUUCGCCAGGAGGCCCGGCUCUUCGCCAUGCUGGCACACCCCAACAUCAUUGCCCUCAAGGCUGUGUGCCUGGAGGAGCCCAACCUGUGCCUGGUGAUGGAGUAUGCAGCCGGUGGGCCCCUCAGCCGAGCUCUGGCCGGGCGGCGCGUGCCUCCCCAUGUGCUAGUCAACUGGGCCGUGCAGAUUGCCCGUGGGAUGCACUACCUGCACUGCGAGGCCCUGGUGCCCGUCAUCCACCGCGAUCUCAAGUCCAACAACAGUGAGUUUCUGGGGGCAUGGUUGGGGGUGGCAGGGGUCUGGUACACACCUGCUCCCAACCUUCCACUGAGCCUAGCUUAGGGUCUACUGCAGGUAGGAGCUCCCACCCUAAGGGGUCCCAGCUGACCAGGGGUGCCCAUGGGCUCAAGGUAGCCCCCAAACAGAGCCCCAGGCACCCAGCAGAGUCUUCCUGCCCCAGCUUCAGAAGUCCUUGACCCCAGCCUGCAGCUGCGGUUUGGACAAGUUAAGAAAUUGGUAUCUCUCAGGUGGGUCAUAAGCAUCCUGCCCAGCCGUGGCUCCCAAAGUCCUCUGGAAGCUCGUGCUCCUCAUCUUCUCCUCCCCUAAAUUCAUAUUCGUGGAGGUUGGUGCUCUGUCCUCCCCUCCCGUCGUCAUGGGCAGCUCCUCCAGAACAGAUAUCUCAGAGAGGGAAGCCCUCCUUGGCAGUCAAGGCCAAGGCCAGGGCUGGAAUUCUGGCCUAGCCCUCCCUGGCUUCAUGACCUCUAGCUGGUUACUCCAACUCGGAGCCUCAAUUUCAGAAUCUGUAAAAAGGGAAAAUGAAACAGCUCAACAGCCUGGGCAAGCCCGACCUGCAAUCCCCAACCCGCAGCGGGUCCUCAGCCGUGGAGACAGACAUUUGAGGGCUGGAUCGCCAAGAGGGCCUAGCCUGGAAUCAGUGCUUGGGGUGGGAGUGCUGGGCUAAGGGAGACUCCAUCUCCCAUCAUUUCAAGCCCCCCACACGCUGCCCAUCAUGGCCUAAGAGAAGCAAGUGACAGCUUCAGAGGGUUUCCUGGAGCACGCAGCAUUUAGAGAACGAAGGCAUGGAGGCAGGACCCAGCACACAACAGGGACCAGGAGCAGGGGCCUCCUAGAGCCCAGAGUGCAGGCUGGAAAGCAGCAGUAGGAAAUGCAGGAGGGGCCAGGCUCAGUGGGGUCACUGGGAAAGCAUGAGACAUUCUUAGAGGGGGGUCAACGUGGAUAUUUUGAGCCUCCUAGCCUGGGCUGACCAUGGACAAGGGGCUUGCAGGAAACAGAGUGCUGAGCCCCAGAUAUCCAAGUUCUUGCCAGGGCUGGAGGAGCCAGGGGAGGCCUGCCAACCACCCUACCCACUCUACUCAUCCCUGGUAGGGUGUGGUUCCCACCUCUCAGCCCCAACCCUGGGAUCUAACUAUCUAGGGACCCCCACUACCUGCCCCAAUCUGAGGGGGAUUCCCCGAAGGCGCAGGGGGAGGGGACUCCCAUCUUCUGUUUUUCCUCCGUUUUCUUUCCAGAAAAAAUGGAACAAUAGCCCAGGCCCCUGCUCCCCACCCUCCCCACUGCUUCCUGCGUUUCCUGCUGCCCCUGAGCUGGCUUCCUGUCCCUGCUCCAGCCCCUGCUCCCUCCCUAGCCCAGCUGCCUGCAGGGAGGAAAGAGCUGGGGGUGGAGGGUUUGCGGGAGGAAGGAGCCUGGAACUGCUCCCCCACUCCCCUCUAGUUCCCCUGCUUCCCUCUCAGAGUCUGGGAGGUGGUGGUAAAGGGCAGGCAAGGUGCUCUCAGCCUCCCUGAGCCUGGCAUUUAACCUUGGAGACCCCAGUCCUAGGCCCAUGUUGCCGUCUGCGGGACUGGGGUGGGGGGAGUCCCUGGGCUGGGGGGGCACAGGCAAGAAACAAUGGCAUGAUUUUCCUGGACAAUGGGGGCCUUGUGAGGAAGCCUGGCGGGGAGAGGAGGGGGAAUUCUCCAGGCCCACGAGUCACAGGACUGACCAGCCAGCCUAGCCUGGGCCUGACCUCCCCCAGUUCUCCCCAAAAGGACUCCCCCUCCCAAGUGGGAGACCUGGCCCAGCCCUCCCAGAAAGGAGAAGUAGGGACCACGGGAGGGAAGCGGAAGAGGCGUGAGCUGCCCAGGCCACUCCCGAGCCCCACAGAGGCCAGCCCAGGGAGACAGCUGGUGGCCAGGUCCCUGUCAGAGGCCAGGGAGCCCUAAAGGGGCACUGAGAGCUUCCCCCAGCUUCGGGGUCUCUGGCCCAUUCUCCUCUGGGUGACCCCUGACCUCCCAUGCCUGGGAUCUACAUCAGACACCAGAACAGCAGUUUGAGUUAGGACAGUUGAAAGCACAGAGAGGAGCUUGGAGAGGAAGCAGAGGAUGGGGCUUAGUAGCUGGCAGAGCCAGGAGCGGGGAGAUAGCAGAAAGGCCACAAGUACAAAGAAGUCCUGAAACUUUGGAUGAGUUGCUGCCCCUCUCUGGGCCUCAGAUUCCCCACCUGAAAAAGGUGGAGAGUGGCCACCCGGCCUGAGAUACUGGAACAGCACUUUGCCAGUCUGGGGUGCCACAAGUGGCUAGAAACCAGGCCAAGAAGCAGCAAGUGUUGCUUUUCAAAGGGGAAGGUGGGCCCUGGCACCAGGGGAGGUGCCCAUUUCCACUCCACCCACUGCCCCAGCCUGCUGUGUUUCCCCUUUGGAAUGAGCUUGUCGUGGGGGGCUUGCUAAAUGCUCAGGUCCCCAGCCUCCAGCAGCCAGACCGGAGGCUGUUGUGAAGUUGGCAGUAAGAAGUGACAGAGGAGAGAGAGGAGGGUGGAGAUACGAUAAGUGCUUUAGGAUAACUGGCCUUUAGGAUGCUUCUGCCAGGUGGCAGCCCCCGUGCAAAAACUUUAAAAAGUGUGGUCUUGUUUCAUGCUCGUGACAGCCAUCUGAGGAGGGUUUUGUUGUCAUCCUCAGCUUGAUAAAGUGUUCAGGACUUGGCUCCAAGGUCUGGCUCAGAGGAGUGGGUAGAUUUUGAGACCGUUCUCUGGAUUAGGAAAAAUUGCAGAAAAUCUACUGGGCAUGCCGGGAUAGUAAAGGUGGUCAUGGAGGGCACCUGGACAUCAGGUAGAGCUGCUGAGCCAAUUUGUCUGGCCUGGAAUUGCAAAUGUGGAAGAUGCCAGUGGGGAGAGGGAGCUGGUACCUGGAAGAGGCUGAGUCAGCCAGGGGCAGUGGGCAGAGAUUGAGGAGAGGUCAUGCUCUGAGAAGCACCAGCGCUGAAAUGGCUGAAGGUGGAGGACACAGAAACAGAGCCAAGCAGCCAGGGGCUGUGGGGGCUGAGGACGGUGGGGCAGCGGGGACAGCUGGCAGCAGUGCCAGAUGCCUCCUCAAGGCCCAGGUGGCCUGGCCAGCAGCAGGAUCAGGGCUUGUUGCUUCAAGCCCUGAAAAAUGAGCACCCUGGUUCUGCCACCUCCUCUGGGAAGUCUUCCCUGACUCACCAGGCUGUAUUAGGUGCCCUUCCCAUCUGCCCCACCCCCUGUGCCCUAUGCUGCCCCCAUGACAGCUGUGUCACACAGGGCAGGAGAGCUGAGAGGUGUGCCCUGACAUGGGUCCAGAAACAUGGUUGACUUGAUAUCGCUUCUCUUCCACAGUGCAGUUGGCUGUAACCAGAAAAGUAGAGGGGCCCUUCAGACCCUUCAUGACUCUAUGACUUUGUCCUCUUUCUAUUCCUCGAAAACUUCUCUCAUUUGAGCCAUUCCUGUCCUGGUGAGAGAUUUGCAAGUUGCUGCUUCUCCUCUUUGUACCAAGUAUGGUGGCCCCAUUUGGGUUAAAGCCAUGAGCCCCUGCCAAGUCUGACCAUCCACGCCUACAUUUACCCCAAGCUCCUCCUCUGUGGCCAAGAACCAUCACUUUCUUGGACCCCACCCUUUCUCUUCCCUUCCAGCUGCAUCGGUAGGUAUCUUUUGGAGUCUUUGCCUUGGGAGUGGCUGCAUUUGCCACAGUGUGAUGUGGGCACUAGGGGCCUGUGGUACCUGCUGGGCUUCUUUUCUCACCAAGAGCUUCCCUCUUGCUCCCCACUCCAAGGGGGGUUCUGAUUCACGCUCCUGCCUCAACAAAAUGACAGGAGAUUCACAGAUCUCUCUUGAAAUCAAAGCCAUAAAUGCCCAGAGCUGCCACCUUGCCAGUUUUGCUUCAGUGUAGUAUUAGGGAAAAGCUAGAACACUGGUUUCAGAGCCACACAGACCAGGUUGUAAUCUCCGCUGUAUUUGUUGUAUGACCUCUGCGAAGUCAUUUCCCUGCUUGGUUUCCUCAUCUAUGAAACGUGAAAAAUAUUAUUUAGCUCAUAAAUGGUUUUGAGUGCUGGGGUUGAAUGUGAAAUGUUUGGCCUUGGCCAGGUGCAGUGGCUAACACCUGUAAUCCCAGCACUUUGGGAGGCCAAGGCAGGCAGAUCACCUGAGGUUGGGAGUUCGAGACCAGCCUGACCAACAUGGAGAAACCCUGUCUCUACUAAAAAUACAAAAUUAGUCGGGCGCGGUGGCAGAUGCCCAUAAUCCCACUACUCGGGAGGCUGGGGCAGGACAAUCGCUUGAACCCAGGAGGUGGAGGUUGCAGUGAGCCAAGAUCACGCCAUUGCACUCUAGCCUGGGCAACAAGAGCAAAACUCUAUCUCAAA
rnacentral:sRNA from 1 species